rnacentral:rRNA from 1 species
GAUGAACGCUGGCGGUAUGCUUAACACAUGCAAGUCGAACGGACUCUUCGGAGUUAGUGGCGGACGGGUGAGUAACGCGUGAGAAUCUGGCUUUGGGUUCGGGACAACCACUGGAAACAGUGGCUAAUACCGGAUGUGCCGAGAGGUAAAAGAGAAAUUGCCUGAAGAUGAGCUCGCGUCUGAUUAGCUAGUUGGUGAGGUAAAGGCUCACCAAGGCAGCGAUCAGUAGCUGGUCUGAGAGGAUGACCAGCCACACUGGGACUGAGACACGGCCCAGACUCCUACGGGAGGCAGCAGUGGGGAAUUUUCCGCAAUGGGCGAAAGCCUGACGGAGCAAUACCGCGUGAGGGAAGAAGGCUCUUGGGUUGUAAACCUCUUUUCUUAGGGAAGAACAAAAUGACGGUACCUAAGGAAUCAGCAUCGGCUAACUCCGUG